GUAGGUGAACCUGCGGAAGGAUCAUUAACGAGAGAGGGGCUCACACGCCCCGGGGGCUUCGGCCCCGCCUCUUCACCCCGUGCGUACCUACCUUUGUUGCUUUGGCGGGCCUCGGGUCCUCCCGACGCCGGCCUGGGGGCAACCCCGGGCUCCCGCGCGCCCGCCGGAGGCCAUCUUAAAAUUCUGUUAUCAGUGCAGUCCGAGUACCAAUUCAAUAACUAAAACUUUCAACAACGGAUCUCUUGGUUCUG
rnacentral:misc_RNA from 1 species